CCUACGGGNGGCAGCAGUGGGGAAUAUUGGACAAUGGGGGCAACCCUGAUCCAGCAAUGCCGCGUGUGUGAAGAAGGCCUGCGGGUUGUAAAGCACUUUCAGUAAGGAAGAAAACCUCAGGGCUAAUACCCUUGUGGCUUGACAUUACUUACAGAAGAAGCACCGGCUAACUCCGUGCCAGCAGCCGCGGUAAUACGGAGGGUGCGAGCGUUAAUCGGAAUUACUGGGCGUAAAGCGCGCGUAGGCGGCUUGGUCAGUCGGAUGUGAAAGCCCCGGGCUUAACCUGGGAAUUGCAUUCGAUACUGCCUGGCUAGAGUAUGAGAGAGGAAAGUGGAAUUCCCGGUGUAGCGGUGAAAUGCGUAGAUAUCGGGAGGAACAUCAGUGGCGAAGGCGACUUUCUGGCUCAAUACUGACGCUGAGGUGCGAAAGCGUGGGUAGCAAACAGGAUUAGAUACCCUGGUAGUCCACGCCCUAAACUAUGUCAACUAGCCGUUGGGUUCAUUUAAGAACUUAGUGGCGCAGCUAACGCGUUAAGUUGACCGCCUGGGGAGUACGGCCGCAAGGUUAAAACUCAAAUGAAUUGACGGA
rnacentral:rRNA from 1 species